GAUGCAAACUACGAAUACCGAAGAAUGUUAUCACGGGAGACACACGGCGGGUGCUAACGUCCGUCGUGAAGAGGGAAACAACCCAGACCGCCAGCUAAGGUCCCAAAGUCAUGGUUAAGUGGGAAACGAUGUGGGAAGGCACAGACAGCCAGGAUGUUGGCUUAGAAGCAGCCAUCAUUUAAAGAAAGCGUAAUAGCUCACUGGUCGAGUCGGCCUGCGCGGAAGAUGUAACGGGGCUAAACCAUGCACCGAAGCUGCGGCAGCGACACUAUGUG
rnacentral:rRNA from 1 species